AACGCGAAGAACCUUACCUGGGCUCGAACGGCUUAAGAUCAACGGUAGAAAUACUGUCUUCUCGCAAGAGACUUGAGUCGAGGUGCUGCAUGGCUGUCGUCAGCUCGUGUCGCGAGAUGUUGGGUUAAGUCCCGCAACGAGCGCAACCCUUGUCCUGUGUUGCCAUCAUUAAGUUGGGAACUCUCAGGAGACCGCCAGCGAUAAGCUGGAGGAAGGUGGGGAUGAUGUCAAGUCAUCAUGGCCUUUAUGUCCAGGGCUACACACGUGCUACAAUGGCCGGUACAAAGCGCUGCAAACUCGCAAGAGGGAGCUAAUCGCAAAAAACCGGUCUCAGUUCGGAUCGCAGGCUGCAACUCGCCUGCGUGAAGCUGGAAUCGCUAGUAAUGCCGUAUCAGAACGAUGGCGUGAAUACGUUCCCGGGUCUUGUACACACCG
rnacentral:rRNA from 1 species